rnacentral:rRNA from 1 species
CAGCCGCCGCGGUAAUACGUAGGGUGCGAGCGUUAAUCGGAAUUACUGGGCGUAAAGCGUGCGCAGGCGGUUGUGUAAGACAGGUGUGAAAUCCCCGGGCUUAACCUGGGAACUGCGCUUGUGACUGCACAGCUAGAGUAUGGCAGAGGGGGGUGGAAUUCCACGUGUAGCAGUGAAAUGCGUAGAGGUGUGGAGGAACACCGAUGGCGAAGGCAGCCCCCUGGGCCAAUACUGACGCUCAUGCACGAAAGCGUGGGGAGCAAACAGGAUUAGAUACCCGUGUAGUCCCUGUCUCUUAUAC